rnacentral:rRNA from 1 species
CCUACGGGAGGCAGCAGUGAGGAAUAUUGGUCAAUGGGCGCGAGCCUGAACCAGCCAAGUAGCGUGAAGGAUGACUGCCCUACGGGUUGUAAACUUCUUUUAUAAAGGAAUAAAGUGAGGCACGUGUGCCUCUUUGUAUGUACUUUAUGAAUAAGCAUCGUCUAACUCCGUCCCAGCAGCCGCGGUAAUACGGAGGAUACGAGCUUUCUCCGGAUUUAUUGGGUUUAAAGGGAGCGUAGAUGGGUUGUUAAGUCAGUUGUGAAAGUUUGCGGCUCAACCGUAAAAUUGCAAUGGAUACUGGCAGCCUUGAGUACAGUUGGGGUAGGCGGAAUGCGUGGUGUAGCGGUGAAAUGCUUAGAUAUCACGAAGAACACCGAUUGCGAAGGCAGCCUACUAAACUGUCACUGACAUUGAUGCUCGAAAGUGUGGGUAGCAAACAGGAUUAGAUACCCUUGUAGUC